GGUUCCUUAUACAAACCUGGUCUUCCAGAAGUGGGCAAAUUAGACGUGGAUGUGUUCUGUGGAGACAAGACUUUUGUGGUUCACAGAAAGGACAAAGGAAUUCCUGAAAACUUUACAGACAAGGUUCAAAUAGCCAAGCGGAAAGUACCAGUAUACGAUGCUCUUCAUUACAACUCUAUCCAUUUUGCUCUGGAGCUGCUGGAGGUCGAAUCAGAGACCAUAAAGGAUUUCAUUGACAGAAUUUUGGAAAUAAUUGAAAAAUAAUCUACAGAAAUGGAGAUGUCACCAUAAAAUCCUUAAUGCUCGUAUUUAAGAGUUUGCUGGGAAAAAACAUUGUUUCUUCUGAAAGAUGAUCAAAUCAUUUUUUUUAUUUA